rnacentral:lncRNA from 1 species
AUGGCAGAAUUGAAUAUUAAAGGAGCAGAGAAUCCUACCCCACAGUCAGAGCUAGAGAAACAGAUAGAUAGCCUACAGCAUAAAAUAGGAAGGCUUAAAGGGGCUCUUGAUGAAACACUGGUGACUACAGAGAGAGAACGUUUCGAGAAGGAAAUUCAAAGUAGAGAAGAAACAUUAAGUAGCCUCCAAGGUCAACUUCAAGAACAGGAAGAGGAUAGCCGCCGACGCUCAACUCGAACAAAAAUCCUGACUCCAAAAAUGCUUGAACUUCAACAAGAUGAGGCGAAGAAGAAGGAAAGAAAGAUCCUCACAGCGUAUGAAAAAUGGAAGAGUCAAGCCCGUGAGUCAAGAGAGCAGUUAAAGAAAGACCUCAAUGAAAGUGAGCUGGCAUCUCUGCUCGAUGCUCUGGAGAAAGAUAAAGAGUCAGUGGUGAAAACAUAUUCCGAAGCACUAGUUCACUUCACACCGUCAGCCGUAUUGAGAAACCAUGUUGACGCAUGUGAGGCAGCUACAACAGAAAUUAAGAAAAUCGCCUACGAGAGGAUUGUAGACAUCGAUUUAGAUUUUGAUGCAGAACAAGCACAGCGCCGUCUCAAGGAGCUACUGAAAAACGGCUAUGCUCGCUCCGUUUAUGGAUCCACUGUCUCUAGAAUGUCAAAGUCAGUCAACGGUUCUGAAGACACUACUUUAACAGCCAAACGCAUGAACGCUGCAGCAGAGCUUGCCGCGAAGGAAGUUGAGUUGGAAGGAUUUCUGGAGGAAGAGAAACAAAGGGAGAAAAUCCAACUUCUAGAAGAGCAACAAAGGACACUAGAGGAGCAACAAAGGAAGCAGCUUGAAGUUGAAAAACGCGCUCUUGAACGCAUACAGGCCGAGAAGGAAAUCAAGGCAGCUCGGGCCAGACUACAAGUCUACAACCAGGAAGCUCCACAAGAGGGCAGCGUCCACUCCUCAAAUAGUCAUAGUGGCUCCCCAGCUCCAAGUAGACAACCCCCUAACGUCACAGUCUCGUCAUCUGAGCUAAAUAUGUCGUCCCUAGCCAGGGCCCUCCAAGAUAGUAUGGCCCUAAAUAGACUUCCAGUGCCAGAGCCAUCGGUAUUUAAUGGUGACCCUAUCCAGUUUAUUGAGUGGAAAACUUCAUUUAUGUCACUCAUUGACUCAAAGGCCAUCUCCUCAGCAGAUAAGCUUUAUUAUCUGAGGAAGUAUGUAGGAGGUCCAGCUCGUAAGACACUGGAAGGGACCUUCUAUAGAAAUGAUAGCGAGGCUUACAGGGACGCUUGGGACAAAAUGAACCACAGAUAUGGCCAGCCCUUUGUUAUACAGAGAGCCUUUAGAGAUAGGCUGACAGAGUGGCCGAAAGUCCAACCUAAGGAUGCAGAGGGACUUCGGGACUUUUCAGAUUUCUUGAACGCCUGUCAAGAUGCAAUGUCACAUGUGAAAAACCUUGAAAUACUGAACGACUGUGAAGAGAACAGGAAGCUA